UGCCCAGCAACUCCUAUCUCUACCUCCUCGCGGUACUGGUUGGGGUAUGAAAGACCUUAGGGAAGAUCGGGUAACCAACCCCGGUGGGAACUCUGGUCGGAUGCUGAUAGGGAAGG
rnacentral:ribozyme from 1 species